rnacentral:ncRNA from 2 species
ACUUAAUAAUUGAAUAUAGGUUUAAUCAGUUUUGAUUAAUUAAAAGGGAAUCAGGUGAAAAUCCUGAACUAUCCCGUAGCUGUAAUAGAUGAAUUUAAGCACAGUUUAUGAAGCAAGCUAAGUUUUAGUUUAUAUAAUGCUUUGUAAAAGUCACUUGGAAACAGGGAAGACGUACUUAAAUAAUGAGUCUUGAGUCAGAAGACCUGCCUAUAUUUGCACUGUAAA